UACGGGGGGGGCAAGCGUUGUUCGGAAUUACUGGGCGUAAAGGGCUCGUAGGUGGCCAACUAAGUCGGACGUGAAAUCCCUCAGCUCAACUGGGGAACUGCGUCUGAGACUGGCGAGCUUGAGUGCAGGAGAGGAAUGCGGAAUUCCAGGUGUAGCGGUGAAAUGCGUAGAUAUUGGGAAGAACACCGAUGGCGAAGGCAGCCAUCUGGACCGACACUGACGCUGAGGCGCGAAAGCGUGGGGAGCAAACAGG
rnacentral:rRNA from 1 species